rnacentral:rRNA from 1 species
UACGUAGGGUGCGAGCGUUGUCCGGAAUUAUUGGGCGUAAAGAGCUCGUAGGCGGCCUGUCGCGUCGGAUGUGAAAGCCCAGGGCUUAACCCCGGGUCUGCAUUCGAUACGGGCAAACUAGAGUAUUGCAGGGGAGACUGGAAUUCCUGGUGUAGCGGUGAAAUGCGCAGAUAUCAGGAGGAACACCGGUGGCGAAGGCGGGUCUCUGGGCAUUAACUGACGCUGAGGAGCGAAAGCAUGGGGAGCGAACAGG